rnacentral:rRNA from 1 species
CACGUAGGGCGCAAGCGUUGUCCGGAAUUAUUGGGCGUAAAGAGCUCGUAGGCGGACUGUCACGUCUGCUGUGAAAAGCUGGGGCUUAACCCUGGCCUUGCAGUGGAUACGGGCAGACUAGAGGUAGGUAGGGGAGAAUGGAAUUCCCGGUGUAGCGGUGAAAUGCGUAGAGAUGUGGAGGAACACCGAUGGCGAAGGCAGCCCCCUGGGCUAACACUGACGCUCAUGCACGAAAGCGUGGGGAGCAAACAGG